rnacentral:rRNA from 1 species
UACGUAGGGUGCAAGCGUUGUCCGGAAUUAUUGGGCGUAAAGAGCUCGUAGGCGGUCUGUCGCGUCUGCUGUGAAAACUCAGGGCUUAACCCUGAGCUUGCAGUGGGUACGGGCAGACUAGAGUGCGGUAGGGGAGACUGGAAUUCCUGGUGUAGCGGUGUAAUGCGCAGAUAUCAGGAGGAACACCGGUGGCGAAGGCGGGUCUCUGGGCCGUAACUGACGCUGAGGAGCGAAAGCAUGGGGAGCGAACAGG